UGGGAACCCACCAUCUCUGUGGGCUCAGCAUAAAGGCAUGGCCUGGGGCUGUACAGGGCUGUAUGGGCUGGGUCACAGACCUUGUGCUUUGCUUGUACUCAUACACACUGCAUUGUGGCCUUCAACAAGCGUGGGUCAGAGGGCCAUCACCCUGCCCAGGAGGGAGGUGGCUGAAGGCCAUGCACACAGCAGAAGUAAAGCAAGCAGAAGAUCAAGCCCCAGAAAUGGUCAAAUCCACUCCGGGAGAGAAAUCAAAGGAUGCACAGUGCUCUCCCUGCCUGCAGAGACUCCCAGCUCUGUGCUGAUUGCAGGCAUCACCCGAAGCCCUCAUUCAUGCAAACCAUCCAUCAGCUGAUGGGGGGUCUGCACAGAGCUCACCCCCCAGCCCCACACCUCUGGAGCACCACAAAAUCCUUCUUCAUCUACAGCUGAGCAGCGUGGAGGCAGCUGGUGGAAGCAAGAAAUGCAUUCGGGCCCAGUGGGAGAGGA
ensembl:lncRNA